UGGGAGAUAGAGGCUGCAGUGAGCUGAGA
rnacentral:piRNA from 1 species